GGAGCACUUCAGGCAGGGGCUCCUUUGAAGGACUGUUUUUUCCUCGCAUGAUCCUUCACGGGCCCUGAGCCUGCUGAGGAGUAGGAGGAAGCUGUGUCUCAGUAGGCCACUCCCCUUCUCAGUAGGCCACUCCCUUUCUCAGCCGGCCGCUCCCCUUCUCAGUAGGCCGCUCCCCUUCUCAGUAGGCCACUCCCCUUAUCAGUAGGCCACUGCCCUUCUCAUUAGGCCACUCAUCAGUGUUACGUUAAUGCUACUAGUAUAGUAGUAGUAUUAAGGUGACUUAGUAAUAUUAGUAUAGCAGUAGGAUUAACUUAAUAUAGUACUAGUAUAGCAGUAGUAUUAAGGUAGUAUUCUACUAGUAUAGCAGUAGCAUCAUUGUAGUAUAGUACUUCUAGUACAGCAGUAUUAAGGUAGUAUAGUACUAUUAUAGCAGUAGCAUUAAGGAGUUAGUAAAGUAGUUCUAGUAUAGCAGUAGCAUUAAGGUAGUAUACUCCUAGUAUGGCAGUAGUAUUAAGGUGGUAUAGUUGUUCUUGUACAGCAGCAGUAGUAGUUAAGUAAUAAAACAGAGAAGCUAGGCACGGUGCUGAGUGUUUGAUUCCCCAGAGGGCGAGACACCAUAUCGAUACUAAAACUCAUUUACUAGGUCAAUAAUGGCUUCUUUCUGUCCCAUUCAAAGGCAUCUUUCACUUGUUCAACACAGAGAGGUGUUGUCGUGUGUGUCUGCUGGUGUUGAAGUGUCUGCAUGUGUGUUUAUAUCCCAGAUUGUAUGUGUGAGGUUUAGUGUCCUUAUUUGUUUGUGCGUCGGCCUCCGUGUGUGUCUGUGUCAGUGGUUCAAUAGAGGGCGCUAUAUUCCCUUGAAUAUAUCUGCCAACUAUGAAUCAACUAUUAUAAAUACGAAAUAAAUCAACAAGAAACAUAG